CCUACGGGGGGCUGCAGUGGGGAAUUUUGGACAAUGGGCGAAAGCCUGAUCCAGCCAUGCCGCGUGCAGGAUGAAGGCCUUCGGGUUGUAAACUGCUUUUGUACGGAACGAAAAGACUCUGGUUAAUACCUGGGGUCCAUGACGGUACCGUAAGAAUAAGCACCGGCUAACUACGUGCCAGCAGCCGCGGUAAUACGUAGGGUGCAAGCGUUAAUCGGAAUUACUGGGCAUAAAGCGUGCGCAGGCGGUUAUAUAAGACAGAUGUGAAGUCCCCGGGCUCAACCUGGGAGCUGCAUUUGUGACUGUAUAGCUAGAGUACGGCAGAGGGGGAUGGAAUUCCGCGUGUAGCAGUGAAAUGCGUAGAUAUGCGGAGGAGCACCGAUGGCGAAGGCAAUCCCCUGGGCCUGUACUGACGCUCAUGCACGAAAGCGUGGGGAGCAAACAGGAUUAGAUACCCCGGUAGUC
rnacentral:rRNA from 1 species